rnacentral:rRNA from 1 species
GGAAGUAAAAGUCGUAACAAGGUUUCCGUAGGUGAACCUGCGGAAGGAUCAUUAAUGAACGCGCGGGAAGGACGCGGCUGCUGCUGGGCUCUACGGGCCAUCGUGCACGUCGCCCCUCUCCCCAUUCAUUCAUCUGCCCCUAUCUGUGCACCUCCCAGUAGGCUUGGGAUCUCCCAGCCUACGUCCUCACAUAAUACCCCUGUAGUCAAUCAGUGAAUGCAUUCCCGUCUGAGGACGGCUUAAAAUUUGUACAACUUUCAACAACGGAUCUCUUGGCUCUCGCAUCGAUGAAGAACGCAGCGAAAUGCGAUAAGUAAUGUGAAUUGCAGAAUUCAGUGAAUCAUCGAAUCUUUGAACGCACCUUGCACCCCUUGGUAUUCCGAGGGGUAUGUCUGUUUGAGUGUCAUUGAUCUAUCAAGGCCGAACACGUUUCGGGCUCUCCUUGGAUGUUGGAGCGUGCGGGGGUGGACAGGUCUCUCUGGCUCCCCCCGCUCCUCUCGAAACGCAUCAGCGGUCGUCCUUCCGUGCAACCCCGCUUUGCGGCGCGAUAAACCGUCGGCGUCGUGGGGGGAUGCGUUGGACUUUUGCUUCUAGUCGCGCUAAGCUUUCUUUGACAGUCUGACCUCAAAUCAGGCAGGAUUACCCGCCGAACUUAAGCAUAUCAAUAAGCGG